AUUAAUUAUAGCCUUCAUAGUCAAAUGUCACAAUAUUUUUACAUUUGUCUAUUGCUGAAUGCUUUUGAUUUUUCUCUUUAGGGGUUUAUUUUAUAUGCAGUCCUGCAAUGAAUAUCUUGGUAGGGAAGUCUUUAUAGUCAUCCUUGAUUGUUUCCUUAGGUUAAAUCCUGGAAAGAUUCAUAACAUUUUAGCAUUAUUGUCCUCAAUACUUUAACCUUGUCCCACUUCUAUUUCAGGA
rnacentral:lncRNA from 10 species